UUUCAUGUUAAAAAAAUAAAGAAAAAAACGACGGGGAACUGGCAAAUAAAUUUUUUUUAGCCCCAAAUAACUGCGAGUGGGAAAAUGACUUAAUAAUUCAAUUUCCCUGUCAGUUCUUCUCUGUUUAGUGACUGCACCCCAUGGUGUUGUGAUGGUUCAGUGAGAGCCUGGCAGGUCCUGUUGGAGUCCAGCACUUAGUGGGUUAACCCAUUCACACCUAGCUGGGAAGUGACUACAAAGUGCAGCUCUGUGUCCGCACCCACAUGUGAUCUCACUGCCUGAGCCACAUCUGAGGCCUGACCUGCUCCCAGGACAUCUGCC